rnacentral:rRNA from 1 species
UAGGGAAUCUUCGGCAAUGGGGGGAACCCUGACCGAGCAACGCCGCGUGAGUGAAGAAGGUUUUCGGAUCGUAAAGCUCUGUUGUUAAGGAAGAACGAGUGUGAGAAUGGAAAGUUCAUACUGUGACGGUACUUAACCAGAAAGGGACGGCUAACUACGUGCCAGCAGCCGCGGUAAUACGUAGGUCCCGAGCGUUGUCCGGAUUUAUUGGGCGUAAAGCGAGCGCAGGCGGUUAGAUAAGUCUGAAGUUAAAGGCAGUGGCUCAACCAUUGUAGGCUUUGGAAACUGUUUAACUUGAGUGCAGAAGGGGAGAGUGAAAUUCCAUGUGUAGCGGUGAAAUGCGUAGAUAUAUGGAGGAACACCGGUGGCGAAAGCGGCUCUCUGGUCUGUAACUGACGCUGAGUCUCGAAAGCGUGGGGAGCGAACAGG